GGAAACAAAGAAGCAAAUUGGGCUUAAUAAAUAAACAAAAUAAAGUAAAAUAAAACUCGUGCUUAUCCAGAAAUAAAUUGGGCCUAAUAAAUAAACAAAAUAAAAUAAAAUAAAACUCGUGCUUAUCCAAACCCAGUCAAAUCAAUAUAGCUGGACAUCACUUUGUCAUUUCCGUUCAGAGCCACCCACCAGCUUUAAUGAUAGGAGGUUCCAAUGCUUCUUUUACUCUGCUAUCCUUUAUUGCAUAAGAACCUUUCAUUUCUUCAAUCAGGAGGUUUCAAUCCGCGCCUCUCCAUCACUCGACUGACUGUCUUUGGGACUCCCUUCUCCAGGUAAAAACUUUCGCUUCUCUUAAGAGCCUCCGUUGUAAUAGUGUGAGCAUAGAUGUUUUUUUGCUUUUGGAAUAAAAGAAAACUUAAUCUCCUGGUAACAAUUUUUCCGGUUCCGAAUAUCUCUGAUUAUUGCUCCAAUGAUCGAUCUAUCUGUAAUGGAACUUUUACACUUUUUUAUAACUGUUUUUGCAUCACCCAUUAUCUCCAUUUUGUUGAUUCCCAAAUUAAUACCUAGAGUGAUUGCUUGUAAUCCUGCAUGAGCCUCCGCUGUGAAUGAAUCUUCGAUGUUGGAGUGGAGAACUGCUAAAGACACAAGGAUUUCCCCUUCCCCAUUCCAAACUAUUAACCCCAAUGCCGAUCUGAACGUCUGACUAUCAAACGCUGCAUCAAAAUGAACCGUUUCCCAUCCCCUUUUGAAAACCUGUUGAUAACAGUCAGAAGUAUGGAAGGUAGGUUUAUCUUUUUUUGCUGCUUCGAGUUCUGUUAAAUAGUUUCUAAUUUUCCUUGCUAUUUCUGAUCCUGACAUUUGCUUUUUUUCAUAAAUGAGUUGAUUUCUACUGAACCAGAUAUACCAUAGUCCACAGCAGAAUAGUCGCAACUGCUCCUCGUUUCCUUGACCAAAGAUUCCAGUGAGCCAUCUCCAUAAAUCCUCAUUAUUGUAGUUCAGUAUCCACGAAAGAUUAAGAUGAUACCAGACGUCAAUCACUGCAGGGCACUGUUGGAAAAUAUGGCGACUGCUUUCUUCUUCGCACUCACAUCUGGGACAUUUAGUAUUCACCGAAACCCGCUUUAUUUUGAGAUUGAGAAAAGAGGGGAUAUAGUUCCAUGAAAUCCUCCAUAUAGUCAUUUUGAUUUUCGAUGGAAUUUGUAAUGUCCAUAGUUUCCUGUAAAAGCUUAUAGUUUCGGUAUGUAAAAAUAACUCAUUAGGAUCCAAAGUCAACUCAUGUAAUAGUUUAUAGGCGCUCCUAACUGAAAAUUCUCCGGUCGACUCCCCUUUCCAAACUUGAAGAUCUUCAUGUUCUGUCUCCACCAAUGGGAUCCUCAAUAUUUUCUCCGUUACAGCUGGUUUGAAGGUAUCCUUUAUUAGCUCUGUUUUCCACUUUCUGUUACUUAGUUCAAUCAACUCUGAGACAAAUUCAAAAUUACCAUUCACUUCUUGAUUCGGUAUUCUAACCAUUUCUUUUCCUGGUAACCACAGAUCAUCACAGAUGGAAAUCCUAUCACCUCGACCCACUCUCCAGCAUAGACCUUUUUCAAGCAGAUCUUUCGCAGACCAAACACUUCUCCAGAUAAGUGAAGGUAAAUUUCCUAGCCGAGCUUUCAAGAAAUCUGAAUUGGGAUAAUACUUUGAUUUCAAAACACGAGCUAAUAAUGAAUCUGGGUAAUUAACAAGACGCCAACCCUGUUUCGCUAAUAAAGAAAUAUUAAACUUUGUAAAAUUUCGGAAACCAAGACCACAAUUUUCUUUUAAUAAGCAAAGAUUCUCCCAGGUACACCAAUGGAUACUCUUUUUAUUCCAUAUCUUACGCCACUAAAAAUUAGCAAUAAUUCUUUCCAGAUCUGUACAUAGGGUCUUAGGGAGUAGAAAACACGACAUUGAAUACGUUGGGAUAGCUUGUAAGAUCGCUUUAAUAAAAACUUCCUUACCUUCUUGGGAUAGAAACCUUGUACUCCAAUUAUCAAUCCUUUGUUUGAGUCUAUCUUUUAAACUUUGAAAAGAUAUUUUCUUCCUUUUCCCACCAUACUAGGAAGCCUUAGGUAUCUCUCUAUAUCAUUCGCUCUUCUAACUCCUAGGAUCAUUGAGACAUUACCCCUUAUAUGCUCUUCUGUGUUUGUAUUGAAGAAAAUAGUCGAUUUUUCAUAAUUCACACAUUGCCCUGAGCUCAAUUCAUAUUCCUUUAGAAUCUGUUUUAAAGCAUGUGCCCCCUUUUCUGAAGCUUUUACAAAUAAAAUACAAUCAUCGACAAAGAGUAAAUGUGAGAUAGUUGGUCCUCUUUGACUUGCUUUAACUCUUCUAAGGAUACUUUCUUCUUUUGCAAGCUGCAUUAAACUCGAUAGACCUUCUGCACAGAACAGAAAUAGGAACGGACUGAGAGGGUCACCUUGUCUGAUUCCUCUAGAUGGAAUUAUCGUUUGCCCUCUGUUGCCAUUGAUAAUCACCUCAUAUGAGACCGUCGAGACACAUUUCAAAAUUGAAUCAACCCAUCCUGGAUCAAAACCCGACUUUUUUAUUACUCCUUCCAUAAAGCCCCAUUUGACUCUAUCGUAUGUUCUACUCAUAUCAAGUUUGACAGUCAUGAAUCCUUUUUUCCCCACCCUCUUGAGUUUUAGAGUAUGUAAGAUUUCAUACUCAAGUAAGACAUUAUCCGAAAUCAGCCAUCCUGGGACAAAAGCGCUUUGAGCUAAAUCAAUACAUUUAUGCAUUACUCCUUUGAGUCGUCUAGCAAUAACUUUUGCUAUCAGCUUGUAAAUCACAUUGCAUAAACUAAUUGGUCGAAACUGAGUAAUCCUUGAGGGAUUUAGGACUUUUGGAAUAAGCACAAUGUUUGUUUUAUUGAUUGAAUGUAAAUCCAUACCUUCGUUUAACCUCUGAAGACAAAAAUUGGUUACAUCCUCUCCAACAAUUGGCCAACACUUUUGAUAAAACAGGGAUGGAAAAUCGUCCUCUCCUGGAGCUUUUGUAGGUCCCAUUCCUGAAAGCGCUUCCAGUAUCUCUUCCUUUGUGUAUCUUGCCUUUAAAGUCUUAUUGUCUUCCACUGUGAUACGGCCUUCAAUACCUGUUAGGAUUCUAUCGCAAUGAUUUUGUCCUCCUGUAUUAAACAAUUUUUGAAAAUACAAUCUAGCAAUUUCCUCCUUUUCCUUCCACUCAUCUGUUUCCCUUCCGUCUUCUGACUGCAAUUUAUGUAUCUGAUUAAGUUUUCUUCUUUGUGAUGCUUGCUUGUGGAAGAAAGCUGUAUUUUUGUCCCCUAGCUUUAGCCAAUUAAUUCGGGCCCUCUGUUCCCAGUAACUCUCGUCUUUUUCAAUCUCAAAGUUCAGAUGGAUUUUUGUAUCAAUAAUCUCUGCCAGAUUCUCAUCACUUCUGUCUUCUUCAAGUAAUGCUAUCAGUUUUGAAGUCAAACCCUCUGUUUUCAUUUUCCUAUUCUGUUGGAUUUUAACUCCCCACUUCUCCAACCCUCUUUUGAGGAUCUCUAGCUUGUUUAUAAGAUCUCAUGUAGAAUUUUCCCAAAUUCUUAAUAGUUUCACUAAAGAAUGUUUCUUCUAGUACCCACCACGCUUCAAACUUGAAGUUCCUUUUUGCCCUCUCUCCAUUCUUGUAAGCCGUAUCUAAAAGAAUUUGGACAAUGGUCCGAGAAUGAAUGUGGAAGAUGUCGUACUAGAUUGUUUGGGAAUAAGUCGCUCCAUUGCUCCGUUGCAACACCUCUGUCAAGUCUCUCCUGAAUAUUUGUUUCAAUUAAGUUCCCUCUCUCCCAUGUGAACCAUCUGCCAGAAUAUCCCAAAUCAACUAGAUUACAAUCUUCUAAAACUUGUCUAAAUGCCUCUAUUCUUCUUUCCUCCCUAGGUAAUCCACCUUUCUUUUCGAAACCAUAUAAGAUUUCAUUAAAAUCCUUGCAAACAAGCCAAGGGUAUUCUCCCUGAUUCUGUAAUUGCCUCAACAGAUUCCAUGCUGCAUCCCUGUCUUGUGAAUAAGGGGAUCCAUAAAAACUUGUAAGUCUCCAUAUUUUCCCUUCCUCUCCUUCCUCAAUAAACACAUCAAUAUGUCGGUUUGAAAAGCUUUGUAGUUUAAUGUUAACAUUUUCUUGCCAUGCCAAACUUAGUCCACCUUUCGAUCGAAUCGAGUCAACAUCAAUGCCAAAUUGAAACCCACACCUUCUUCAAACUUUUUCCAUUUUAUUUUUGUUUAAUUUUGUCUCCAUUAAGAAGGUCACUUGGGGAUGAUGUUGCUUCAGCGAAUGCCGAAGUCGUCGAACUGUCCGAGGAUUCCCUAACCCUCGGACAUUCCAGCUUAAGAUUUUCAUUGCGACCGGUCGGCUUGCCUCUUGGCAGCCAUUGAUAACAAAUGGUUAGAUUCAGCCCUUCUACUAUUCCUCCCUCCCGCCUCCAUACUUUCUUCCAUUUCCCCUCUAGUCCUCUUUUUCCCCUCCUCUCCUACAAUCAGCUCAUUCUCCAAAUCAUGCUCCAUCUCCAUGUUAUUAUUACCAAUUAGCUUCCUUGAACUUCCUAGCUCUGCGUAAAGCCCGUUACCUUCCAGAUUAAAACCUAGAAUUGGAUUCGGACUAUUCUCAAAUUUUCCUACUUUCCUCCAAUCUCUAUCACUCCUGAAUUCAUCUCUAUUAUUUUUGCCUACUGAUCCUCCCUCCUCCCUUAACCAGGCACUGCGCAUUGCUUGGGCUCUCCUUGACUGUGCCCGCAAAGAUAGAUCCCAUCCCGUUUCUUCUAUUUCAACCCCAACUUCCAUUUUUACUUUGCAGAAGGAAUCAUGCCCUAACCGGCCACAGAAGAAGCAAAAGAGAGUUAAUCUCUCAUACUUAAAUCUGACAUAAGAACACAUAUUCUUAAACUUAAUCUGUUUUUUCCUUUUGAGAGGGCGACGGAUAUCAAUGUGUACUCUAAUCCGCAUAUAAUUCAUAUUUUCUUUCCCUAAAUUAGAACUAUCAUACUCCUGGAAAGUUCCAAUAAAAUUUCCUAAUUGCAUGGCUAAACUUUCAGAGUAAAAACCAAUGGGAGCCUCAUGAACUUGUACCCAAAAAGGUGAUGAAAUUAAUGGAAUUCUGAGUGGGUCCUCUGCCCAUUGCAACUUAUGUAGAAUCAGCAGAUGGUUAUUAAAUGUCCAAGGGGACCCUUUAAUAACUCUCUCCAUAUCCAUAAUGUGAAAAAAUUAAAAAAUAUACCUCUUUUCCCCCAGAUCUCUAAUUUGAACCCCCUUGAUUGGAUGCCAUAAGUUAGCCAUAGUACUUUUCAUUGCUGGGUAAUGGAUGAUACUGGCUGUAAGGAAACACCCAACUAGACUUAAAUCUUCUUCUGCACUUACCGAUUAGGAUUUCUUCCUCUUCGUCAUCAAGGGAUAGGGCUACAAACUCAGAUUCCAUGGUCGUUAUACGUGAAGAAUAGAAAGAGAAGAUUAUUCACAACACUGGAAAACUCGGCUGUCAAACCAAAAAACUAUUGAAAAAAAAGAAAAUCUAGACUUGCCAGAAGGGCAGACAGUGACGAGCUAGGGUAGCAGACUUUUAUAAAAGACUUAAUAUAACAAUCGUAUUUAAGAGGUAAAAUUGCAACAUUUUAUCUGUUUAAAUCAAGAAUCUAUUUUAAAAAAUUAAUCUCUUAUUGGUUCAAUUUUUUUUGUACAAAUAUUAUUAUUUUUUUAAGGAGAAGUCUUUACGUCAAUGUUAUAGGCUAUUCAUAAACAUAAGAUAUUAUUUGUUAUUGCCUUUUGAAUUUAAAGUGUCAUAGAAACAAUUUUAGAUAUCUACAUGUAAAAGUACUAUCAACUCUUGGCAUUAGGAGGAAUAUUGCAUUUUGCCUCCUAUAUUAAAAAAUUGAUAAAUUAGCCCCUGUAUGUUACAAAAAUGUGUAAAUUAGUCGUUCCGUUAAAUUUUCAUCCAUAGUUGUUGCUAAGUGAUGAUUUGACUUAUUUUCAAUUUUUUUAUGUAAGUGACGUGGAAUUAAAGAAUGAGUAGGAUUCAGUAAAAGUAUUAUAGAGAUCCAAAUAUUAAGAGUUGGAUUGCAUUUUGCCCCUUCUACUCAAAAAAUAGGUAAAUUAAACCCUAUUCGUUAGAUCAAAGAGAAAAAUGGUCAUUUGUUAAAAAAUGAGUUCAAUAUAAAAUUAGUAUCCAAAUUUAUCCACUUCUCCCAAAUUGAUACUUAUGGUCUUUUUUGUCUCAGAUUGGUACCCGAACUUUUUUCCCGUCAAUUAAAGCGGUAUUUGAGCCUAACGUAGUUAAGUUUAGGACACGUGCUAGAAUAUAAUUGUGAUACGUGGUAUAGAUGACAUCAUGGUGAUGUCAUAAUAUUUUUUUAAAAAACCUUUUUCUUUUUUGAAUUUUUCCCCAAUUUAUGUUGUUCCUUUUUAUUCUUUUUCUUUCUUCUUCCUCCUUCAACCCUAAAUUUUGUUUCUUCUCUGUUUCUUUUAUCUGUUCAAUUAAAACCCUUUUUAAUAUAAUUUUGAAAAAAAAGGGUCAUUUUGAGUUUAUAGAGGAUGAGGAUAGGUUUUGUUUCAAGUAAACAUGAAAUUUGUUUUAAAAAGGGUUAAUUUGUUUCAAAAAAGAUUUUGAGGGUUUGAAUUGAAUCGUUGAGUGGGGACUAAGUUUGGGCAUGGGUGUUGUUACAAGGUGCUGUAAUGAAAUCUAAUGGGGUAAAUUUGAGGGGUUUUGGUUUUAGGGUUUGAGGAUUUAAUGGGGAGAGAAAUGAGAGAUGAAGAUUGGGAUUUUCUUUGUAAUGGAAGCUAAGGGGGUGAAUUUUAGGGUUUUGAAUUAGGUGAAGAGAAGUAGACUUUGCAGUCGUCUAGAUUCUAAAACCCAAACUUCGACUUUCCUGAUAUGUACCACUUAGAUUAAGACACAAAAUUGGAGUUCACUUCUUGCUUACAAAUCAUGUGCAUAUGUGUUUGCAUUUGAGACUGUGAGAGUGAGGAACAGUAAAGGAUGAGCUUAACCAAACCUUAUAUUAUACCAUUUCCAAUGCUCAAAAAAUGAUAUAGUCAAAUCACUUUUUCAGUUUCCUAUUUCUUCUUAUUGGUUGAGUAAUUGUUUCGGUCUAGAGUCUAUUACUAUAAAUAUCACAAAUUAAGCUGAUGUUCAAAGUUUUUAUUUUCUACUGUGUAAGAAAAUAAUUUUUUAAAUCAAAUUUUUUCCAACAGCCGUACCUCGAGAGCUCGAACCAAAGCUAAAAUCUCUUUAUCAUAAGUUGAAUAGUUGAGUUAGGCCCCAUGAAGUUUCUCACUAAAAUAUGCUAAAGGUCUCUGUAACACUCCUAACUCGUAUCCGUCACUGGAACAAGGUUAUGGAGCAUUACUGGACCUAUCAGACAAUUUACAAUUAAUAUGGAAACCAACACAUUUUCACAUUCAAACCUAUUUAAAACAUGCCUUUCAUAAUUAAAUACUCAUCAUAUACUAAAUGACCAUUUGGUCAUCUUAAACCAUCACCAAAACCUUUAUAAAAAAGACUCAAGCCUAUACAUGCCAUAUAACCAAUAUCACAAAGGUUAUAAAUACCAAACCAUAGCUGGAUAGUGUGAUGAGAUCUCCGAUGACUUCCAACACGAGCAAGCCUUCGAAACUCUAUAAACAUAGGAAAGAAAACAAAGUAAGCUAUAAAGCUUAGUAAGCUCGUAUGGAAAUAAACCCAUGUUAUUAAAUAACCGCAUUUAAAAUAAUUAUUCAAAAUAUGAUAUAAUUUAUAUGAUUGUAACAUUCUAUUUCAAAUUCAUGCACAUAGUUAAUCCAGAUUUUCAUGAGUUUAUUCUUUCAAAACUCGUAUAGUUUGAAUACUUCUUAUCAAUUCAUUCACAUUUUCAUAUGCAUAAGCAAUUAUAUAUAUACUUUAUUCAAUUCAAUAUUCAUCACCUUUUCUUCAGCCAAGCGAAAUAUCAUCAAAUAACGAUAUUUCGCACACUAUAUGCCUUAUGUGUAUUUAGUUAAAACAACUAUAACUCAUAUCUCACAUAUCAUUUAUAUAAUUCACAUAGAUCAUAUUCCAAUUCAUUCUCAAUCAUAUAAUCUAUAACAGUAUAAUACCCGUUGAACCUACUGAAACAUCGAAGGAUACUCGGGUGAUACACAUUAUCUGCAUUAAUUGGUAAUCCAUCAAUUCAUUAUCAUUUCUGCUCUUUCGAGCCAUGAUCGGUAAGCUCAUUCUGAGUUGAAGAACGGUAAGCUCAUAAGAGCUGAUAUAUCGGUAAGCUCAUACGAGCUGUGGUGAGUCCGUAACAAAUGUAGGAGCUCGACCAAAAUGGUAACCCUAGUGUCAUGUCACUCGUAUCCUACGAUUUUCUAUAGUUCAAAUAGGGCUCGGUAUUACUUAAUACAUUUCAAAUUAAGCAAUUUAGUAUCGUUUAUUUCAACCAUUCAAUUCACAUAUAUAUACAUAUUCAUUUCAUACAAUUGCAAUUAAAUGAAAGUUCGAUUCUAGUUAUAGGAACUUACCACAUUGCAUAAUUUAAGCAAUUAAAUCAAUAUGUCCAACUCGAAUAUUCAAAUGCCUAUCACACAUACACCUCAAUAGGUUAGAGUCUCAAAUAUGAAUAUAACCAACAUUUCAUCCAUGAAUGCUUCAAUUUGGCAUUCAACUCACAUAGCAUUUAAUUCAUAAAUUUCAUAAAAUUUCAUUUCCAUACAUUCUCAUAACACAUCAUAUUUCAUAUACAUGACACACUAAGAAUUUAUUAGAUUACUUUCAUUUGAUUCUUAUUUAGAUUUUGUACGUAUAUGUAUCACUUAAUUCGAUUGUACUUUCAUUCUCAUCUUGGCUUUUCCAGUUGAACCAUUCAAAAUCGUUAAGGAUACUCAGAAAUCAUAAUAGCUCAUACAAUGCCAUAUCCCAGAUAUGGUCUUAAUGUUAUCACAUAUCGAUGCCACUGCCCAGACAGGGUCUUAUACGAAAUCAUAUGACGAUGCCGAUGUCCCAGACAUGGUCUUACAUGUAAUCACAAUACAAUGUCAAUGUCCCAGACAUGGUCUUACAUGUUAUCACCUCUCAGUAAUCCUAAUGUCAUGACAUUUGUAUCCUAUUCUAUUACUAAGGUUCAUACAUGAAUUUUGGACGUCGUAACUCUGUCGAUUUCAGCUCGUAUUCAUGACCAUUCAUCACUCAAUUCAAUUCAAUAUUAAUUAAGCAUUUAUAACACAAUUUAAAUAUGUUAUUAGCAUACAAACUUACCUCAUUCGCUGUAACAACGAAUUAGGUCGACUAAUCCGAUACUUUAUUUUCUCCCGUCUAGAUCCGAAUCUCAUUUUUCUCAAUCUAUAAAAUAACAAAAUUUUCUUAUUUAAUCAUUUGUUCAUUCAAUUUAACACAAAUUACAUGUUUUGGCAAAAUUACACUUUUCCCCUAUUAUUUCACAUUUUUGCAAUUUAGUCCUUAUCACAUAAAAUCAUAAUUUCAUGCAAUUUCAUCCUACCCAUGCUUAUUUGAAUUCUUCUUAUUACCUUAGUAGCCUACAUUUUCCAAAUAAUCACACUUUUAACCACAUAAUUUCAAUAUUUCACAAUUUAAUCCCUAAUUUGUAUUUUUAUCAAAAAAAUCACUAUAAAAUAUGAAAAUCUAACAUCAAAUAUUCAUAUUUCACCAUUAAACAUCAAAUAACACAUAAUCUCAUCAAUAUCAACUAUCAAAAUCUUUAAUAGUUUUUGAAGUCGAAGACACGAGUUAGCUAGUACUAGAUGUAAUGAUCUCAAAAAUGUAGAAAUCAUUAAAAACAGAUCAAAAUCCAUACCUAUUUGAGUAAAAAUACCGUGGCCGAAAGUCAAGCUCAUCCAUGGUUGUUUCAAACUCCAUUUUCGAUUGUAAAUUGGAUGAAAGAAGAUGAUAAUUGACUUUGUUUUAUUUAUUUUAUCUUAUAUUAUCAAAUACCAAAAUUAACCUUUAAAAAUAUUAGUUACUACACCAAAUGCCACUCCACUAUCAUCCACUAACUCAUACAUGGGCUAUUUUCCACAUAAGGACCUUUACUUUAAAGUUCUAUAGCUAUUUGACACUUUUAGCUUACAGAACACAACUUUUGCACUUUACGUGAUUUAGUCCUUUUUAUCAAAUUAAGUACCCAAAUGAUAAAAUUUCUUCACAAAAGUUUUACACAAUCAUAAUAUCAUACUGUAAUUAUUAAAAUAAUAAUAAAAUAAAUUUUUUGACAUCAGAUUCAUGGUUCCAAAAUCACUAUUCUGAUUUGACCAGAAAAAGAAAGGGUUGUUACAGUCUCUUAUCUUGCCUCAAUACUACGACAAUCCCAACACCUAAAUCAUCACAUUCUAUUUCAAAUGUGUUAGAAAACUCAAAUAUUUUUAAAAUAGGAGGAGAACAUAACUUAUCUUUCUAGGCUUGAAAUAAGUUUUCUUAGGCUUCUCCCCAUUUAAACCCAAAGGAUUUCUUAAUGACUUCGGUUAAAGGAGCUACUAAGGUGGACUUCACGAAUCGUAUAUAAAAGCUUUCUAAUCCAUGGAAACAUUACACUUUUGUAAUUGAAUUAGGUGUGGGUCACUCUCAAAUGGCUUUCACCUUGUCUUCAUCAAUAUGGAUACCUUGUGCACUAACAAUAAAUACCAAAGGGAUGAGCUUACUACAAAAUUAAAUGCAUUUAUCAAGGUUAGUAUAUAGUUGAUCAUGACGUAAAAUCUCUAAAACAGCUUGUACAUGUUCAACAUGCUCAUUUAAAGACUUAAGAGUAAAUUAGAAUGUCAUCAAAAUAAACAACUACAAACUUAGCUAAGAAAGGUAUUAAGACAUGAUUUAUCAACCUCAUAAAUGUACUAGAGGCGUAAGUUAAGUCAAAAGCCAUAACCAACCAUUCAUACAAUCUGGAUUUAGUUUUGAAAGUGAUUUUCCACUUAUCCCUUUCUUUGAUACGUAUUUGGUGAUAUCCACUCUUAAAAUCAAAUUUCAUGAAAAUACAUGCACUAUAAAGUUCAUCAAGCAUGUCAUCCAACCUAGGUAUGGUACUUAAUAGUAAUGAAAUUAAUAAGCCUACAAUCUACACACAUACAAAAUGUACCAUCCUUUUUGGGUACCAAUAAAACCAAAAUCGCACAAUGGCUCAAACUCUCUCGAAUGUAUCCUUUCUCUAAAAGCUCUUCCACUAAUCGUUGCAACUCAUUUGGCUUUUUGGGGUUGCUUCGAUAAGUUGGUUGGUUUGGAAUUGUCGAGUCAAGGAUCAAAUCAAUUUGAUGCUCAAUACCUCACAAAGGUGGUAAACCUUUAAGAGCAUCACCAAAUACAUCCUCAUAUUCCUACAACAAGGAAAUAAAACACUAGGCAAAGGUUAGAAAAUGAUAAGUAAUUUUGCCUAAAAUACAUUAGAAUACAAGGUUGUUUACUUAGUAGGGCUUUCUUCACAUUUUUUGUACUCGCAUAAAAAUUUUGAUGCACUCUUUUUUCUCACAAGAGGAUUCACUCACUAGUGGGCCAUUAUUUAGUCUUUUGUUACUCAUGGCCUCUUUUCUCUUAACCUUUUUUACCUUACUACCUUGAACCCCCUCACAAAAUUUCAUCAUUUUCAAUUGGCCAUUGUGUACAUCUUUGGGAUCCAAAAUGGUUAAGUAUCUAUUCAAUUUGCCAUGGUGGAUGACCUCUCGAUCAAACUGCCAUGGUCUCCUCAAUAGUAAAUGAGCAACAUGCAUUGGGGCUACAUGACAUUAACAUCAUCAAUAUAAUUUCCAAUUUUAAUAGUGACAGUACAUUGUUUUACCACUUUUACCUUGGAUCCUUCAUUAAGCCAUUAGAGAUGAUAUGACUUAGGGUGUUUUUGACAAGGUAAUGAAAGGGAGUCCACCAAAAAACUACUUAGCACAUUGUCACAGUUGCCAUUAUUAAUGAUGAGUGAACAUAGUUUCCUUUUAUCAAACAUCGGGAGUGGAAGAUGUUAUUUCGUUGCUCAUCAAAAUCAUCCCUUGCUUGGAUAUUGAGGAUGUGUCGUACAAGAAUGCAAUUGGACUUUAAAAGAUCCUCACUAUCAGUAGGAGGUUCCAAGACCUCCUCCUCAUCAUCUUCAAUCAAAGUAGGCAUAUUGGGAUUUUUCAAAUUAGAAUUGGAAAUAUACUCUCCAUCAUCUUGAACAAGCAUAAUUCAUUUAUUUGGACACUCAUUGUGUCAGAAGUGGUCACCUCUGGUACUUGUGCAGGAAUUGUUUCGCGGAGAAAAAGAGGGGAAGUGGAAACAGGGUUAUCUGGUUAGGAUGUAGGUAGAUUUGAUACUGGAGUUUUGUUGUUUUAGGGUUCAAGUUUCUUUAAUGGCACAUCGUUUGGGUGCCAGUAGGCUUUAGGUUAGUAAAUACGCUAGGUGUUAGGCUGAGAUAUUAGCAAGCACUGUUUGGUUGCCCAUUAGGUAAUUUACAGCUGUUAAAGCUAUGCUUUUAGGUUUUUUUUAUAAAAAUAACCUAAAAAAUAAUUAAUUACUUAAAUGACCUUUUUUUGAUAAAAUACGAAAAUAACUCAAAAUCUACAGUAAAAGUUGGUGGAGCCAAAAUGUUUGGCGCCACCAACAUGCCAUGUCAAUAAUCUACAUUAAAAAAUUAAUUUUUUGGUAGAGCCAUGUAGAAUGACGCCACUUGUAUAAAUAUUAGGAAAAAUACUAUAAUUUUUGAAAGUACGAGGGUUUAAGCAAUUUUACAUUUGUCUGGUGGAGCCAAAUAAUUUGGCACCACCAGAUUUCAAGACACUAACCUAUUCUGCCUAUUUGCCUAUUAAAACAACCUAAUUUUUUUUUCAUUUGUUACUUUUUCUAUUCUUUGUCCUUUUUCAUUUUGUCCUUUUUAAGUUUUUUUAUUUUUCAUUUAUUUCUUUAUUAUUGGUUUUAUAAAAUUUUAAAUGUAUAUUUUAAAUGUUUUAUAAUAUUAUUUUUUAAAAUUUUAAAUAUAUAUUUUUUAAAAUUUUUAUUUUUUAAAUUCUAAAUAUUAUUUUUUUAAUAUUAUAAAAUAUUUAAAUAUAUUAUUUUUAAAGAUUUGACCUUUCAAAUUUAUUAUUUGUUUUAUAAUAUUUUAAAUGUAUAUUUUAAAAAUUUUAAAUAUAUAUUUUAAUUUUAAAUAUAAUUUUUUAAUUAUUUUUAAAGAUAUUCAAAAUUUUUUUAAAAUUCUAUUUAAAAUUUUAAAAAAUAAUAUUUUAUUUUAAAAAAGUGAAAAUUGAAUUGAUUGAAAAAAAAUAAAAAAAUGAUUUAUUUGUUAAAAAAGAGAUUAAAAAUACAUAUUAAAAAAGUUAUAUAUAUUAAAAAUAUAUAUUAAAAAUUAAAAAUAUAUAUUAUAACUGGUCACAUCGUGUCAGUGACAUCAACGAUAUGACUAAUCAUUAACCUAAUUGUUAGUUAAAAAAAAAACAAAGGAAGAGAAGAACAUCCUAUUUAAGAAGGUGGGGUUUGGUCCUCCCUUCAAAUAUUUUGUAGAAAGAAAGAAGAAAAGAGAGAAAAAAAAAUAGUAAGUUAUUUAUAGUUUUUAUUUUGUAUUUUUAUAUUUUAUAGUUAUUGUAAUAUAAUAAUUAAUUAUAUUUAAUUUAUGUAACUUUUUUUAAAUUAUGUAAAUAUCAAAGUAUCUUCUGGAGCAAAUACGUAUCACACUUCAUCGAGGAUCAACAAAAUAGUAAAAUUAAUUAUAAAUUAAAUAUAAAAAAUCGUUUUGAUUGCAUGAAAUUGAUUUCUAUUUGGUUGUUAUUAUCCCUUUUUAACUCCUUUUUUCAUGAAAUUGAUCUCUACGUUUUAGUAAUAAUUUUUUUUAAUUUAUGACAUAUUCAUAAAUUUAUAUAUAUUUUUUAAUAUGACGACUUUUCUGCUUAAUUUUGCAUUGUUACCGUGCUUGGUUCCAUUUGUGGGGUACAAAAAAGUUAUAUUUGCAUUUAACGAGUGAAUAUAUAUUUUUAUAAAAGUUCUCGUAUAAAAGAUAAAUUUUUGAGUUUGAAAAUGUCUAGUUUAUAUUAUAUGUAAAACUCUAUGUAUUAUUAUAGAUUUCGAUUCAAUAAAAAUAAGUCUUUUUUUUUAUAUUUACUCAUACCACCUAUGUUUUUUUAGGACAUUAUUGUUUUUUUAUGUGCUUUUUGUAGUUAUAUGGUUGCCCUUUGUUUUAAUACUUAACUAUGGUUAGGACAAAAUAAUCACAUUUGAUCUCUAAGUGUUAUUAUUAAUAUUUUGUGACAAAUCUUCAUUCUAUUAUUAAUAUUUUAUUUCUCAUUUAAUUUAACUUAAAUAAAAAAAAAACUUAGAAUGGCUAUGUUGGUAUAGUAUAAGUGUGAUACUUUUGUUUUCUCAACCUUUCAAUUUUACUCUUCAAUAUAUAAUUUUAUGUUUAAAUUAUAUAGAUAAUUGAUUUAUCAUAUUUUUAUAAAAAAAUUACCAUAUAUGACGGGUAUUAAGUUUUGAGGUCGCGGUUUCAUUUUCCCAAGUACGACCCGGAUGAGCGGGUCAUGCCAUACUUACAGUUGGUGAGAUUUGGGGACGUCGUAUUGAUCCGAAGGUUUGACCUGAGUGCGAACUUAAUAUCCACUUUGGUUGAGCGGUGGUGUACGGAGACCCACACCUUCAUUAUGCCAUGCGGGGAGUGCACUAUCACAUUGGAAGAUGUCGCUAUGCAACUUAGGUUACCAGUUGGCGGUGCUGUGGUCAUGGGCUGAAGCAAAGUGUUGGAACCUUCAAUACUAUGCCACAGAUUGCUUGGACGGUCCCUUAGUGAUAGGGAACAGAAUUUCACAUGCCUGACAUUGGCUUGGUUGAGAGCAAAUUUUAAGGAGUUAUCGAGCACUACCAUUGAGCACGAGGUGGUGUGUGCUACUCGAGCCUAUAUUAUGUAGCUGAUCGGGGGGUACUUAUACCGAACAACACGUUUAAUAGGGUCCACUUAAAGUACUUACUUCUAUUGGAGGAUUUCUCUCGUGAUGGUAGUUAUAACUAGGGAUCGGCAGUGUCGGCCAUAUUAUACCAUGAGCUUUGUAGAAAAACAAAACAUGAGGUUAGUAACAUGGCUGAUUGCUUGGGUCUACUAUUGAUGCGAUCACGCCCCGAAGCUCACCUAGCUCGAGCAAGGAUCCGAUGGUGCUGCCUAAAGGUCCUAUCACGCAAGCUUGAGCUAAGCUCUUUAAAGAGGCCAUUUUAGCCUUAGUCACUCAAAUAUGGGCUGAAUCAUUGACCGAACCCAUUGAAAAAGUCUGGACCAGCUCAACGAGGACUCCUUGCAACCUCUUGCAAGUCGACUUUAGCUCCUCCUUAGCUCCCGACCUCCGUUUAGCUUCUUUCAACUCCUUUGAGCACAUUUUAAUUUAUUUCUAGCUCAUUUACUUUAUUGCUAGAAUAAACUAAGUGAUUAAUUUAAUUAGUUUAUUUUGUUUCAGCUCAUUGAUUAGUUUAUUAUCUCAUUAUAGCUUAUUACAUGUUUUUUAGUAUAAUUUGAGCUAGUCGAAUUAUUGUAUCUUGAUAAGUCAAUAUUUAAUUUGUCUUAGCUUCAUUAUAUUUUAUUAUUGUGUCUAAGGUAUGAAUUUAUUUUGUUCUAGCCGAAUUUAAGCUUGCCUUAACUCCAUUAAAGUGUUCAUUGUAUUUUGGUACAGCUAAAUUCAUGAAGGAUGAAUAAUGCUAGGUGCAUGAACGGUUGGUUACAACGAAUAGAGAAAUUCAUGCAUGGUCGGCUACAAUGCAUGAUGGCUAAUUGUUUGGCUUCUCCAAGAACCUAUUCGGCCAAGGAGUAGCUGCCCAUCAAUUUCCCAAGUUGGCUGAACAUCUUCCCAAGGUAGCCUUGAAGGUGUUCACACUUGCUGAAUUACCCAUUCAUACAUGAAGUCCAUUCAGUUAUAAGCAUUCACAUUCAAAUGGCUCUUCAACUUGGUGUUCACACUUAUAAUGACUAUUCAAGCUUCCCAAUCAAUGCCUUCAACAUUCAGCUGAACAAGGCAAAUUAAUUGAGCUCAUUUAAGCUCAUGGCCAAACCUAGACAUGCCCAAUCAGCCCCAAUGCUUCCAAAUUCAUUCAGCAGAAUUCCUUCAUCAUUAAGCUGACUUGUGGCGUCCCAAAGGCUGAACAUGGACAAGGAAGACUUAUGAAUUUACUCAAAGAAUAUUUCAGCUCAUUUAAAGUCGAAUACUUAGACAUUAAGCUUUGUAAUUUGUCUAUUCAGCUAGCCUAUGUCAUAGCUAUAAAUACUUAGCUAAAUUCAACUUGUAAAAUAUCUUUGAUCAAACUUUUAUCAACUUAAUUGAACUUUGAGUUCUUUGUGAGGUUUCUUCCUCUCCAAAUUUCUUUUGAGUCUCACUUGACUUAUCUGCUUGUCAGUGAUGUCAAUUUGAUUCUCUUUUGAUACAUUUGGUUCCUACCUUUUUAGGUAACGGGUCAAGGUCCUUUUCUUCACUCACCAAUCCACCUUAAGCCAUAUAAGUCCCAAAUCGCACUCUCUAUAGUGUUGGUUCAUUCUUGAUGCUUGAGUUCAAAUUCUAUUCCAUCUACUUAUUAAAAUUAUCUAUCUUUAUUUCUUUGUUAACCCAACCUAUCCAAAUCAUAUUUAACCUACUUCGACCCUAAUUACACUCACUAUCCUAUUAUUUAUUCAACUAUAAGUCUUUUACAAGUUUGGAACGAUACUUUCUCAGUGACAAUCGGGCAACUAAAAUGACUCGACUCAUUUAACCAAUGCGGAUCGCAUCAACUACAGUCCUGGGCUCUAUACAGGAUGUCGUUUCUUGCGACUGCUAAGCACCAACCAUAUUCGUGGCCACUUGUAAAUAGGUAAAAACAAAAUUACACUUAACAUUUAACAACUCAUAAGUAUGGAUAAUAUUUUCCCAAGUUUAACUGCUAAUAUGUUUGUUUCAGUUUAAGAUGGACCACGUCUCCAAGAAUUGGUGCGAGCCCAACAUUAAUCAUUUACCGCCAAAUGAUAGAGGCGUUCGUCGAAGAGAAA
rnacentral:lncRNA from 1 species